CACCGAAUUGUCUGGUUGCGGGUAAGUCUCGGAGACUUGCAUGGCGCUGGCGGUCUCCAUAAAUGCGGGCUAACGUAGGGGCUCGACAGGAAUGAAAACACUGAGCGAGUGCUUGGACAAUGACGUCGGGGGCUUAGCGAUGCAAUCGAAGGUGUUAUCUGAUCGUUUCUGGAGCUCCGGACGAAACAAAUCUCUCCUGGCGCUUGUCGCCGUU
rnacentral:misc_RNA from 1 species